ensembl:lncRNA
AUGUUUAAAAUGUUUUUUGAAAUAAAUAACAAUCUGAGGACUUAUGUGGAGACAUUUCUAUCUAUCUAUCUAUCUAUCUAUCUAUCUAUCUAUCUAUCUAUCUAUCUAUCUAUCUAUCUAUCUAUCUAUCUAUCUAUCUAUUUCUUUUUAAGAGGAAGAGAGCUGUGUAACAGAACACAUGGAAGAAAAUCAAAACUCCCUCAGAGAAAAGGGCUGGUUAAAUCAGCAGCUAUAAUUCAUGGACAGAAUCUUCACCUUUUAUUCAGUUUAAAUUCUCAGAGGUUUUGUUGUUAUUAGAUUGAAGUGAGAAAAGUUUUGACUUAAUUUGAAUGUGAUGUGAUGAAUGAAGGAUAUGACUAUCAGAACCAUCUCAACUGGUGCUCACGUGAUGUGUGGGCCUUUGUUUUAUGAGCAUUUGACUACAUCGUAUCAAAUUACUGUUUAAAUAUCAUUAGCUCAUAAUGUUUCUCUUUUCUCCCUUGUUUGUCCAUAGACAGAUAUGUAUUAAACAAAUUGUCAAAUAAAUUUUGAACAUUCUUUUAAACACAAACUUUUUGCUUGUUGGUUUGUUUUUUUGAAUAUGCAUUUGCUUAAUACAAAGUUUCAUCUACCGAGGAACACGGUGGGCAGGUCAAAGUUGGUUUGAGGAUAAUGACCCAUCCAGCCGAUCAUGCUUCCUUCUGUAUCUCUGCCUUUUUUCCUGAUUAUUUGCCGCGUAUGCCAGGUACCACAUUCUUUAAACAAUUUUACUUUUUUUUUUUUUUUUAAUUCUCAUCCUCUCCAACAGAAUCUACAAAUAAACACAUAAAAUGAAAUGAAUUUACGUGGACUUAUUACUCCAUUAGACAUUUUUCAGAUCACCAAUGACAGUAUGAGGCUUUAUGAAUUGGAUGUGGUGUGAGAAAGCAUCUGCUUGACUGUUAAAAUCCAAUUAUUGUCUCUUCCAAUAAUCCCGGUGGUAUUUUUAAACUGUGCAGUAGCACACACAAGCUUUUAUUUAAAUUUGUGAACACUACAUAAUUCUAUUUAUUUGUGACCUCCCGACAAACAAAUGCUUUGUUUAUUUAAGCAUGUUCUCUGUAUAUUUAGAAUGUCUAAAAAUUUCAGUUGCAUUUGGUGAGAAAAUUUAAUUAGACUCUUGUCAAUUGGAUUUGGUGACAUUGAAUUAUGAGAGGUUUUGGUGGGGGGGGCGGUCAGGAGGUUGAAAAGAGAGGACAGUGGCAUGUUUACGUGUGUUGUGUGUGUUUGUGAAAAGUAUCUCCCUUGACUGACUCACAGACUCGUGGUAAAUAUCACUCUUAUUGUAUUUGUACAUUACGAGAAACUCUUAUUCUGGCCGUUAACUCAUCUAGCUUUUAAAUGGGUCAUGGGCAGGUUGAAAAGUUGAAAAGAAAAUCAGGUUAUUCGGUGUCAGGCAGAAAAUACAAGAGAUCAUCUUUCACUACUAUACCACUAACAAUCAUUAAAAUCAGCAUUAUAACUAGAGGAUAUUCUGGAUAUUCUCUUAAAGAUCGUAAGUCAUUUUAAUAUUAUCAUAAAAUAAAAUUGAGUGAGAACAUUGGAUAGGAUGAUUACAAACCAUUACUGAAGCAUAGGAAAGAUUAUAUAACAUUUAACAGACUGACAUAAAAGAUUAUGAAAUAUAUUAAUAUUGUUCUUAUUCAAAUAGUUAAUAACCAUUAGCUGGGGGGCAAGUUAAGUACACUUAACAAAUUAUCGGUUUGCGUAGAGAAGUAAUGCUACUCGUUUUGAACAACCUUUGAGACAAAUAAAUCACUUUUCUCAUUACUGAUACAAUCAAUCUCCCUUGCUGCAAAGGUUAUAAGCAGCAGACAUUACAUCAUGUAAUUGAAUCAUUAAUAUACUUAAUCUCAUUAACAGAAAAAUUAAGGAACAAAUUUGCCUUUUCUUUAUAAACCUGCCACUGAUGACCAAUGAGAACUCUCAGUAUAAUUAUAUUCAUCAUAAUUAGUGCAUAGUAAUAAGUGAUUAACAUACAAUAAUGGCUGAGAGAAGCUCUUUGUUCCUAAUUGCUGAACAUGUACUCGAGUUCAUACCCUUUUUGUGUUUAAUUGAUACCGUUUCGCAAAUGAUUAAUCUUAUUAAUUACUGUUGAAUUUUCCUGUGCCUUUAAAGGUUGAGGUGUUGGAAAAAAUGGCAGUGUAAAAGUACAUAUGUGGAAAACUGUGUGUGUGUGUAUUUUUCACUUUGAAGGAAUUGUUUAUUAUUAUUAUUAUUAUUAUCAUUAUUAUUAUUAUGUUUUAAUACACACACAUACUGUACAGACAGAGAAACACACACUUUCUAUUGUAUUAGAUUUAGCCUCCUCUAAUCAAUUAUAUUGAUCACCUCUGAAACGGCAGGAGGAUCAAUAGAGCCUUAAUGCGAGUUUGCUGUCCAAUCAGAGCCUGUUAAAAUCAAGAGAAGGUCUUCAAUAGACUGUCUGCUUCCUGUCACAUACACCAGGAGAUAAAUGUGCAUAAUGGUGUCCUAUACAGCACACACACACACACACUGUCAUCGUAAAGUUUAAAUCCAUGAAUAUCAAAAAAAGCAUAGCUUAUCAGCAAAACAUAAAUUUAUAGAAUACAUAAAGAUCUUUAUAUGACCUGUGAAGCAUGAUAUUAAUUCAAAUUCCUCUGCUGAUAUAUCCCUGAAGGAGACUGAUCUUGGGCACCUCCUGUAGAUGUUUGUCAGCUGUGUAUAUGUUUGUUCUCACAGGGCCACAGUUGGCUAUGACUCUAGAGGAGACUUUGUAAGCGCCUGGACUCUUACUGUGAAUAUUAACGAGUGAGAAAAAGAGAAAAGGAAGGAGAAAGAAAGAAGGAGAGCGAAACAGAGAGAGAGAAUAAGGGCAUGAAAUCUUAGAAAGCGGUUGAGAUAGAAAAAGAAGGAUAAAGAAAUGGGAAAACUGGGCCAGAGAGGGUAAUAGGCUAGCACAGUCUCUGCUCUCUAAAACCUGCACAAAGGAAGAAAGGAAGUGAUAGUGGGACAUGUGGGAGGGAGCCAGCCAAUGGAAAAGGAAGCAAUAAAAACAACAGCAAACUUCCCUGCACAGGAACCUGUGCACAUUUGUGUUUGUGUGUGUGUGUGUGUGUGUGUGUGUGUGUGUGUGUGUGUGCUGUGGGUGGUCAGUAGGUCAGUAGCUGUACUCAAACAUGUUUUGUUACAUAAAGCUAUAAACAUAAACAGGGACACUGUUAGAUAAAAAAAAAAAUGUGAUAGAGGAAGGGAGAGAAGUAAUUUGCUCUGUAUUUCAAGGAGGUUUUUACUCAUCAUCUUUGGCUCCAAUGGUCACUUUUUACGCUGAAAAUGUCAUACUUGUUUUUUGGUUUUCUUUCCAGCGAGUGUGCAUGUGUUUUACUGUGUGGUCUUUGUGAAUGAGGCUGCUUAGUCUGCUUUUCAAAGACAGACUCACAUAUUGCUUAUCCUUCCUCCAGACAGUGGCAGUUUCAAACCACCGAAACCCCAGUUCCGUCUAAUGUGUGUUAUUGCUUGUUUUAAAGAACAAUUAAAAAUGAAAAGCUUGAAUUUAAUGUAGUUUUUCCUUUGUCGGGUGCUGGAAAGAUGUGAAUGAAAGAGUAAACAUCUUGGAACAUUCAUUUUACAUUUCUCACACUGAAAAUGUCUUGUGCAUGCUAUUUACAGCACCUCUUCCUAAACAUCACACUUAUUCCUGAAAUGUGCUGGAAAUUUCUUAACCGCUUAGCAAUAAUAAAAUCAUAUCAUAGUUCAUGCGGAAACAGAGGGAUUUUUUAAAUCUGUUUUUACAGGCUGAAAAUAUCACUUAAGCCAAAAGUGAUAUGUUCAUCCUUUUUAAAACAAAUUUUAAAGGCAAUUAUGUGCUAUUUCUCUUUUUGCUUCUUGUUACUCAUUUAUUAAUCUGUUCACAUGACUCCCAGGCUUAUUAGUGAUUUAUAUAUUUUGUAAAGCAUAAACAGCUCUGAAGUCACACUCUUUCUCCUUGUUUUUACGUACUGACUCACUCUGAAUCUUUGAGUGUGUAUGUGUCCAUAUAUGUGUUCAGGCAAAGUUUCUCUAAGAUCUAGGCACAAUGUGUAUAAAUUGUACAUUUUAAGUUAUUUUUUAAGUUAUUUAAUUCAUUUGCUUACCAUGUUUUAUGUGUGGUUUCUUUAAGAUUAUUUACAAGGUGAAAUUUGUCCUUCUGUUUUUAAAAUUUUAGGUGAAAUGUGUCAAAAUAAUCUCCCUCUAACACUACAACAUGCUCUCAGCAAAGAGCUCUUACUCUCCAAAUAGCAUUCAUCAGUG